rnacentral:rRNA from 1 species
CGAGGUAGUGACGAGAAAUAACAAUACAGGGCAUUUAAUGCUUUGUAAUUGGAAUGAUAGGAAUUUAAAAUCCUUCCAGAGUAACAAUUGGAGGGCAAGUCUGGUGCCAGCAGCCGCGGUAAUUCCAGCUCCAAUAGUGUAUAUUAGAGUUGUUGCAGUUAAAAAGCUCGUAGUUGGAUUUCUGUCGUGGUCAUCCGGCCUUGCCCGUAGGGUGUGCGCCUGGGUUGCCCGCGGCUUUUUUCCGGUAGCCUUCCGCGCUUCGCUGCGUGCGUUGGUGUUCCGGAACUUUUACUUUGAGAAAAAUAGAGUGUUUCAAGCAGGCUUGUCGCCCUGAAUACUGCAGCAUGGAAUAAUAAGAUAGGACCUUGGUUCUAUUUUGUUGGUUUCUAGGACCGAGGUAAUGAUUAAUAGGGACGGUUGGGGGCAUUCGUAUUUAACUGUCAGAGGUGAAAUUCUUAGAUUUGUUAAAGACGAACUACUGCGAAAGCAUUUGCCAAGGAUGUUUUCAUUAAUCAAGAACGACAGUAGGGGGUUUGAAGACGAUUAGAUACCGUCGUAAUCUCUACCAUAAACUAUGCCGACUAGAGAUAGGGAAACG